GGGCCGCUAGCUCAAUUGGCAGAGCAAGUGACUCUUAAUCACUAGGUUCGAGGUUCGAUUCCUCGGCGGCUCA
rnacentral:tRNA from 2 species